UACGUAGGUGGCAAGCGUUGUCCGGAAUUAUUGGGCGUAAAGCGCGCGCAGGCGGUCCUUUAAGUCUGAUGUGAAAGCCCACGGCUCAACCGUGGAGGGUCAUUGGAAACUGGGGGACUUGAGUACAGAGGAGAAGAGUGGAAUUCCACGUGUAGCGGUGAAAUGCGUAGAGAUGUGGAGGAACACCAGUGGCGAAGGCGACUCUUUGGUCUGUAACUGACGCUGAGGCGCGAAAGCGUGGGGAGCAAACAGG
rnacentral:rRNA from 1 species